CCUUUUUAUAGUUUUGGGGUGGAUACAGUUUGGCAGUUGGAUCUUGCAAUUGCUGUAAUCGUGAAAUCUGAGGAAGACUUUCUUUUUAAGGGCACUAUUAGUUUUCAUCAAAAGGCGUUUAAUGGCCGAGACAUAUUCAUGCCUCUUAACAGCGAAGAUAUCAUAUAUAGCUAUUGUAUGCACAAUGAAUGAAUUCUGAUUGU
rnacentral:misc_RNA from 1 species